UACGUAGGGGGCGAGCGUUGUCCGGAUUUAUUGGGCGUAAAGCGCGCGCAGGCGGUCGUCCAAGUCGCGUGUGAAAGCCCCCCGGCUCAACUGGGGAGGGUCACGCGAUACUGGUCGACUCGAAGGCAGGAGAGGGUAGUGGAAUUCCCGGUGUAGUGGUGAAAUGCGUAGAUAUCAGGAGGAACACCAAUGGCGAAGGCAGCUCGCUGGAACGGUACUGACGCUGAGGCGCGAAAGCGUGGGGAGCAAACAGG
rnacentral:rRNA from 1 species